rnacentral:tRNA from 1 species
GCGGGUGUAGUUCAGUGGUAGAACUUCAGCCUUCCAAGCUGAUCACGCCGGUUCGAUUCCGGUCGCCCGCUCCA